GACGGACGCUGGCGGCGUGCUUAACACAUGCAAGUCGAACGAUGAAGCCCAGCUUGCUGGGUGGAUUAGUGGCGAACGGGUGAGUAACACGUGGGCAACCUGCCCCAAACUCUGGGAUAACUCCUCGAAAGAGGUGCUAAUACCGGAUACGAACUAGACAGACAUCUGUACUAAUUGGAAAGUUUUUCGGUUUGGGAUGGGCCCGCGGCCUAUCAGCUUGUUGGUGAGGUAACGGCUCACCAAGGCUACGACGGGUAACCGGCCUGAGAGGGCGACCGGUCACACUGGGACUGAGACACGGCCCAGACUCCUACGGGAGGCAGCAGUGGGGAAUAUUGCGCAAUGGGCGAAAGCCUGACGCAGCGACGCCGCGUGAGGGAUGAAGGUCUUCGGAUCGUAAACCUCUUUCAGUAGGGACGAAGCGAAAGUGACGGUACCUAAAGAAGAAGCACCGGCUAACUACGUGCCAGCCGCCGCCGUAA
rnacentral:rRNA from 1 species